rnacentral:rRNA from 1 species
UUGGAGGGCAAGUCUGGUGCCAGCAGCCGCGGUAAUUCCAGCUCCAAUAGCGUAUAUUAAAGUUGUUGCAGUUAAAAAGCUCGUAGUUGAAUUUCGGGAUUAGUACGUCGGUCGUGCCUUAGGUACGUACUGGUGUUACUGGUUCCUACCUUCUGACGAACCAUCAUGUCAUUAAUUUGGUGUGGUGGGGAAUCAGGACUGUUACUUUGAAAAAAUUAGAGUGUUUAAAGCAGGCUCGCGCUUGAAUACAUUAGCAUGGAAUAAUGAAAUAGGACGUUGAUCCUAUUUUGUUGGUUUCUAGGAUUGACGUAAUGAUUAAUAGGGAUAGUUGGGGCAUUAGUAUUCAAUUGGCAGAGGUGAAAUUCUUGGAUUUAUUGAAGACUAACUACUGCGAAAGCAUUUGCCAAGGAUGUUUUCAUUAAUCAAGAACGAAAGUUAGGGGAUCGAAGACGAUCAGAUACCGUCGUAGUCUUAACCAUAAACUAUGCCGACUAGGGAUCGGAUGAUGUUAUUUUUAAUGACUCAUUCGGCGCCUUACGGGAAAC